CGGGAAUAUUGGGCAAUGGGGGAAACCCUGACCCAGCAACGCCGCGUGAGUGAUGAAGGCCUUCGGGUCGUAAAGCUCUGUCCUUGGGGACGAAGAAUGACGGUACCCAAGAAGAAAGCCACGGCUAACUACGUGCCAGCAGCCGCGGUAAUACGUAGGUGGCAAGCGUUGUCCGGAAUUACUGGGCGUAAAGGGCGAGUAGGCGGUAACACCAGUCAGAUGUGAAAGGCGAGGGCUCAACCCUCGGAUUGCAUUUGAAACAGUGUAACUUGAGUGCGGUAGAGGAAAGUGGAAUUCCCAGUGUAGCGGUGAAAUGCGUAGAUAUUGGGAGGAACACCAGUGGCGAAGGCGACUUUCUGGGCCGUAACUGACGCUGAGGCGCGAAAGCGUGGGGAGCGAAC
rnacentral:rRNA from 1 species